CCUACGGGUGGCAGCAGUGGGGAAUAUUGGACAAUGGGGGGAACCCUGAUCCAGCCAUGCCGCGUGUGUGAAGAAGGCCCUCGGGUUGUAAAGCACUUUCAGUGAGGAAGAACGCCUGGUGGUUAAUACCCAUCAGGAAAGACAUCACUCACAGAAGAAGCACCGGCUAACUCCGUGUCAGCAGCCGCGGUAAUACGGAGGGUGCGAGCGUUAAUCGGAAUUACUGGGCGUAAAGCGCGCGUAGGUGGCUUGAUAAGCCGGUUGUGAAAGCCCCGGGCUCAACCUGGGAACGGCAUCCGGAACUGUCAAGCUAGAGUGCAGGAGAGGAAGGUAGAAUUCCCGGUGUAGCGGUGAAAUGCGUAGAGAUCGGGAGGAAUACCAGUGGCGAAGGCGGCCUUCUGGACUGACACUGACACUGAGGUGCGAAAGCGUGGGUAGCAAACAGGAUUAGAUACCCCAGUAGUC
rnacentral:rRNA from 1 species